AAUUACAUUUUAAGACGGAGCAGA
rnacentral:siRNA from 1 species